CGGCUCGCUAAACAUGUCCUGGGGAAAGGGCACAAAGGGAGAAGAAAACCUCUAAGGGAGUGGUCAUUCUAGGACCCUCAUCCAAUUUGGGUUCAAAACUCAAAGUUGCCAGAUACAGAUCAGUUAGCGGAUGGCAGUAACUUACAUUUGUGUGACCCCUAUUAGCAUCCGUGGAGAGGUGUGCAGCUUCCAGAUGUCCUAUCAGGUGUUCCGGCACCUGAUGCCCACCAGGGUGCCUUGCGGUGGAAGAGAGAGCCCUGUUCUGUAGAAGAGGAAACCCAGCAUUUCAAGGAAUGGCCCGGAGGUCCUGUAAAAAGCAUCCACAAUAAGACUUUCUUUUAAAGACUUGUAUUUUUUUAAGUUUAUUUAUUUAUUUUGAGAGAAAGAGCAGGAACAGAGGAGGGGCCGAGAGAGAGGGAGAGAGAGAAUCCCAAACAGGCAGUGCAGAGCUCAAUGCAGGGCUUGAUCUCACGAACAGUGAGAUCAUGACCUGAGCUGCAGUCAGGUGCCUAACCGACUGAGCCACCCAGGCGCCUCUAAAGACGAUUGUUAAGUAACCUCUACACCCGACGUGCGGCUCGAACUCAUAACCCCGAGAUCCAGACUCAAAUGCUCUACUGAGCCAGCCAAGUCCCCCGCCUCCACAACUAAGACGUUUAAGUCUGGCCCUGCGAUUCCGAAGCCAGUGCUCCUUCUAACUGGCUACAUGGCUUCCCCUCUGUUAUCUUGACUCACACAACAAAUGAGACAAGCAGGGUUUGUGUCAUUAUCUUCUUCCCUGUGCUACAACCCGGAGAACCGAGGUGGAGAGGCUAAAUGCUUUGCUUGGGGUUGCUUGCAUGGGUGGGGGUAGAAGGGACCUUCAAACCCAGACCAUGUGAAUGGAAUCAAAGCCUUUCUGCUGUGUCAUCUUGCUUAAUGUGUCGGGAACCACCACCCCACCUGGCUGCACACGACAUGCCCACGCCCACACUUGCUUUGGAUCCAUCACUGGGUAAGCUAGUCUUGAGUAUCCGGGGAGCCCAGGAGGAGGAGCCGACAGACCCCCAGCUGAUGCGACUGGACAACAUGCUGCUGGCCGAGGGGGUGGCGGGCCCCGAGAAGGGUGGUGGCUCGGCGGCAGCCGCAGCCGCAGCGGCGGCUUCGGGAGGCGCGGGCUCAGACAACUCCGUGGAGCACUCCGAUUACAGAGCCAAGCUGUCCCAGAUCAGACAGAUCUACCACACGGAGCUGGAGAAGUACGAGCAGGCGUGCAACGAGUUUACCACCCACGUGAUGAACCUGCUGCGGGAGCAGAGCCGGACCAGGCCCAUCUCCCCCAAGGAGAUCGAGCGUAUGGUCAGCAUCAUCCACCGCAAAUUCAGCUCCAUCCAGAUGCAGCUUAAGCAGAGCACAUGCGAGGCCGUCAUGAUCCUGCGCUCCCGGUUUCUGGACGCGCGGAGGAAGAGACGGAAUUUCAACAAGCAAGCAACGGAAAUCCUGAAUGAAUAUUUCUAUUCCCAUCUCAGCAACCCUUACCCCAGUGAGGAAGCCAAAGAGGAGUUAGCCAAGAAGUGUGGCAUCACAGUGUCCCAGGUAUCAAACUGGUUUGGAAAUAAGCGAAUCCGGUACAAGAAGAACAUAGGUAAAUUUCAAGAGGAAGCCAAUAUUUAUGCUGCCAAAACGGCUGUCACUGCUACCAAUGUGUCAGCCCAUGGAAGCCAAGCUAACUCACCCUCGACUCCUAACUCAGCUGGUUCUUCCAGUUCUUUUAACAUGUCAAACUCUGGAGAUUUGUUCAUGGGCGUGCAGUCACUCAAUGGGGACUCUUACCAAGGGGCCCAGGUUGGAGCCAACGUGCAGUCACAGGUGGAUACCCUUCGCCAUGUUAUCAGCCAGACAGGAGGAUACAGUGACGGACUCGCAGCCAGUCAGAUGUACAGUCCGCAGGGCAUCAGUAUUUCACCUUCCCACCCCCGUGAGGCCUCAGUGCGCUUCCGACAUCAGCAUUUUGAAGGGAGUGUGUCUGUUCUAAAGGGAGGUUUGCAUCCGAAGAUGAGUGAAGGCAGAAGUUGGGGCGCAGAGGAAAAAUCAGAAGGAAAGUCUUAUUUCUUGCCACCCCCUGCCCCCACGGUCGCUAAUGAGACCAUCCUCCCUGCUCCCUGCGCCCGCCCCAGAGAUAAAUAAACACACGAAGGCGGAGUUUCCUACUUAAUAUGCACCCGCAGUCAGGAAGCGGGAAGGAAUUGCUCCCCAGGGUUAACGCGGCAGUAAGCGAGGUCAGCUGUUUCCCAAGACAGAGCAGCCUCUGAACGGCUUGCAUUAAGGCUGGAACAGCGCCGCCGAAGCAGCCAGAGUGAUUUACGGGAAACCUGGCGAAGUCGGGCUUGCUCGCAGUUUCUGAUCACGGAGGUUUCAGCGGGGGGGGGCGCGGGGGCGGGGGGAGUAGUUACAGGAAUCCAGGACUUCAGUGUUAAUGUUGAGGGGCCCCGGGCACAAGGGGAUAGAUAGCUGGCCGCCCAAUCUGAAGUUGUGUGUGUUUAUGGAUAGAGGGGGAGUGAAAGAAAAGAGAUUGAUUUUAUUUAUUUUUAAGAGGUCUCAUAUAUUCUUCCUCACUGGGCCAACUAGCAUAAUGAAGAUGCCAGUUUUGGUGUCCGCUUGAACUGCUUCCUGUCUCUACCAUCUGUGAGUUUCCUGUACCCUCUGGCAUCCUGUGCACUGGUCUGAGAAAACAAAACUUCUUCAAAGGCCUCCUGUUUGAGUGAUUUCAUCUCAGACACCCGAAUCAAAAGGCGUCUCCUGGAAUCUUCUGGUCAGUCCAGGAUGCCUUGCCAAAUCCCUCCGAAUGAGACACCGCCGGGCUCAUUUUCUCUACUAAGUUAUUUUAAUGAAAUUGAAGCAUGGCUAAAUUAUGGCUAAUGGAGGUUGGCAGGAUGCCACUACCCCUUCAUCAGUGACCUCCCCUACAGAAGGCCCUGGCAGUGUUCACUCUGAUACCUCCAACUGAUCUCCCAGCAAUCGCAUCCCGGCUGACCCUGUGCCCCAGU